CGGCACGACGGUGCCACUACUGUGGCUUCAGGAAAAGGAUACUGCCUGGGUGUCACACAGCUCCAGUCGUCGCGACGUCUGAUUUCGACACGGCCCAUAGACUAUCGGAUCAGUGACCCAGCCCACCCCGUGAUCACGUCAGUUUCACCCAAGUCAACUAUGGGCACACCAUCCGCUUUGACAGUUGCGUAAUAGACCGGCCCUAUCGCUUUAACUCAAUUACGCAUAUGGUUGGUGCUAUGUAGCAAAGCCGCUAUUAGAUCUAAUCUACGUUCAAAUUGACAAUAAUCAGACAGGAUCUGCGGUACAAAGAGAAGGCUUGAUUCUUGCCCUGGGUCAGUGCCAACCCUACCCUCCUCUGGCCCGGCCCUGCCCGGCGUGGCCUGCUAACCUGGUCAGGCUGGCCAGCCCCGGGGAGGCGCGUCAGAGCGCAGCUGUGUGUGCUCACUCCGAGGGGAACGAUGUGUGCGUGCCACUCAGCACCGGCCAAUCUCAGUCAGUGACACAGAUAUAUGACAGGGCUAAGCUAUCGGGAGCUAACGUCAUGCUCGCUUGACACAUUUUCUGCCUGGCUAGUAAGGAGACAUUUAGCGAGGAUAUGUAACCCACACUGGGCCUGCUGCAUGCAGAAAAGGUAGUACAUCUCAUCCUGGCUGUACACCGAUGGCUGGCUCUUACUGGGGCUGCUGAAAUACUUGGCCAUCUGACUUGGGUUGUUCUGGUCCUCUUCAAACUGCCGCCACUGGGUCAGCUGCGUGAUGGUGAAACAGUAUGUCAUGCUAACUUUUAGCUAUAGAUACAUUACACACUCACACCAGUAAGAAAUGUAACCACGGCCAUUUGACACAGGGCCUUUGACCAGGUGUGUUUGAGCAUAUUGCUCACUACCCAGGUAUUUCCUUCCUUUGCACUAAAGAUGCAUUCCUUUAUUGUGACAUAAACCCUCUGCCAGACACUUAGAGAGUCAUAAACCUGUUUGCAACAUCCUUCGUAGUUUUGACUCAUUCUGUGUGAGUCACACUCCACUGAUAGACAUGGGAAAUUGACACGCAUAAAUGGAACAGAGGUGUGGGCACCAUAGUCACUGAUAGAAUUUAUUGCUUUUGUCAAAACAAAGAGAGAAAGUCAUACGUCUGUCAUGUAUCUGUCUACCUAGAGUUUUAGUCUGAUUGACUGUUUUUAAUACAGGUUUCCAGACAUAGUAUCCUAUGAUUAGAUGACAAUCCCCCUCCCUUGUGGUUUCUGCUUUAGAGAUACUCCAAAAGUGCCAGUGUCAUCAUUACCAGAAACAAGGAGAUGUCAGAGGAUAAAGAAGAAAUCCUGCACUUUCUCCAAAACUUGCAACUAUAAACUCUUUUAGUUUUUUGUCUGAUGCAUCUUGUAUGUGUAUCUUGAGCCGUUUUUCCUUACCUGAGGCACAAACAGCAUGCAGUUGGUGGCAAGUGUGCAGAUGAAAAUGGCUCCAGCCACAGUGCUGUAGACAAUGUUGGGCCAGGCCUGCAGGAAGAUGGACACAGGGACGGCCACCGCCGAGAAGAGGGUGACCAAAGUGACGGUUGUUAUGAUGGUGGGAGACUGGUUGACGGGAGGGUGGCUGACGUUGCUGGUCAGCCCAGCUAGAUAAGUCCCAUAGAGGAGAAGACAACCCUAAGGAGAAAUGCGGGGACAAAGUAAAGACAAAGGCCACAAAAAAAAUUGUAAUCAACAAAUCCAUAACAAGAAGGAACUCAAAGCAGUCUUUUUUUUUUUUUUUUUUUAUAUAUAAUUUCAAUAGAAUAGAGAUUACUUACCUUCUGAACAGCAAUAAUGAUAACCCAUAGAUCUGAGUAUACAGAGGAGCAGGUGUCCAGCUGAGACAAAGAGUAGGAAAUGUCUCUCUCCACCACCUAGAUCAGGAAAAAAAUGUAUCAGUGAGCUGAAACCUGAAUAUAUUUGGCUAUGUCAUGAACAAGUCUAUAAUUAAAGCUAUAGUGCGUAGUUUCUGCCGCCCCCAUGAGGAAUUCUUAGUAAUGACAACAAAACUGUUGGCGCGUCCACGUGAUAAAAGCCUUCCGUGACCACGCACCACCCCCCCACCCUCCACACAGUUGCUAGUAGCCAAAGAGUAAAUGGAGGAUUAAAACAACAUGAUGGACUGUUCAGAAGAGGUAAUUAGCUUCACUAAAAAAUGCGAUUUUGCGCAGGAAAGUCACCGGACGCCACAUUCUUCUGAACAUAGCCAUACUGAGAAACCCAGAGAGAGUUGUGUGGAGCUGAUAGUCUUCAUUAACUUUGUAUCAACUUAUUCGGCAAUGGCUUGAAUGUAACG